rnacentral:lncRNA from 1 species
CACUCCCCCUCAAGCUGGUGCAUAUAAAUCAUAUGUACCGAGCUUGUUACAUAUGUAGUUAACAUCGAACCCGGGUUUCUAGACCCGAAAGUAUCGAGUCCAAAGACAUAGUUGAAAACUUGCUGAAACAGAUGAAGGAAAUACUGUUUUUGCCGGAAAAUUACUGUAGAUCCCGGAAUAAAUCACUGUAUAUGCCGGAAAACUUCAAAGUGGUCGUCAAUUGAAAGUAAAAAUAUGGGUAGGCUCGGAAUUUGAGGGCAAUCCAACUGCUCUGAAGGACCUUCGUCAAAAUCUCACCGGAACAGUGCUCA